UGGGACGGGGGAGGAUGUAAUGAUUUUGUGUUUUGUUUUAAUGAGCUGAAGUAAAAUAAACUCUAGCUUAAUGGAUAUUUGAUAGAGUUAUUCAAACUUGUAAUGCCUGAGCGUAAGAUAGAAGUCACUAACACUCUAAUAAUAAUUUAAAUCAUCUGUUGAAUUCAAUCCAUGGUUGCAGAUUUGGUUUCACCAGGAAGUAUUUGAAGGCAUGUUUGAGCCAUGUGCUCUCUUUGACAACACGAGAUGAUGGACAAAUUAUGGACUAAAUGAAAUGUACAGGCUGUGAGAAAGAGAGGAUUGUUACUUUCUUCAAGGUGGCCAGACUUGACACAGAACUUAAAUAUAGUUAGAUAAGAAGUGGAAGUUGAAUCCUUGAGGUGGUCGUAGUGCAACUAAACGGAUGCAGAUUGUCGUAAAACCCCUAAAAGAGAAGAAGUCUGCUCCCUGGACUGGCCGGUGACUCCCCUGUAAUGCAACCGCAGAACAACUGGAACCAAACCUCCCCACUGCAUGUUCUGCAAGAAGAGUUCAGCAGAACAAACUUGAGCGUGCGUGGCCUACAUUGUGCCGUCGCAUCCAGUCCAUCCUCCGCCACGGCCGCCAUGUUGAACUCCAGAUGAACCUGCCGGUUUCUGUGGGAGAAGAUCUGUGCAUGCGAUUGGCCGAAGCCAGCACUCCAUAUUUGGAGAUUACUGAAGCCAAGUUUGGGCUGCGACCGCUGCCCCCCUCGUGUGAGAAGAACCUAAUCGCUCCACAGGCUUUUUAAUUAUCUCAUCAUAUGUGUGUCGCUGCCACAGCCCGGGAGAUGAAGGGGCCAGAAAACACGGGAUGGACUGGUUUUACCUUUCUUUACUGUAAACACUGUUUAAUAAUGCACUGUGAGACAUUCCACUGGACUCUAGCUACAGCAUCAUAAAUAAUAAAUUGACCACUUUUUUUAAAAAAAGGUGAUAUGGCACGGUAAAAUUCAAAUUUAAAUGACGUUUUAAAAAAAUAAACACAUUAUGUGAUGAAUUUCAUCAUUGCAGUAUAAUUGUGGUGUAUGGAGAUGCUAUAAAUGGUACAAUUAUUUUCAUAAAGUAUUGUAAGAUUUAUUUUU